rnacentral:rRNA from 1 species
UACGUAGGGUGCAAGCGUUAUCCGGAUUUACUGGGUUUAAAGGGUGCGCAGGCGGAUAUGUAAGUCAGUGGUGAAAUCUCCGGGCUUAACCCGGAAACUGCCGUUGAUACUAUAUAUCUUGAAUGCUGUGGAGGUAAGCAGAAUAUGUCAUGUAGCGGUGAAAUGCUUAGAUAUGACAUAGAAUACCUAUUGCGAAGGCAGCUUACUACACAGAUAUUGACGCUCAUGCACGAAAGCGUGGGGAUCAAACAGG